CACGUAGGGUGCGAGCGUUGUCCGGAUUUAUUGGGCGUAAAGAGCUCGUAGGCGGUUUGUCGCGUCGGCCGUGAAAUCUCCACGCUUAACGUGGAGCGUGCGGUCGAUACGGGCAGACUUGAGUUCGGUAGGGGAGACUGGAAUUCCUGGUGUAGCGGUGAAAUGCGCAGAUAUCAGGAGGAACACCGGUGGCGAAGGCGGGUCUCUGGGCCGAUACUGACGCUGAGGAGCGAAAGCGUGGGGAGCAAACAGG
rnacentral:rRNA from 1 species